CAGGGUCCAUGGAGUGAAUGAAAAAUGAAAAUGGGAAGAUAAAAUACAGAUUAUAGUUUUCAAGGAUUGGAGCUGGAAGGAGUUGCCUGUUUGAGAGCUGUGUUAAGGUCUGAGAAACAUGUGCAUGUUGUGCACUGCAAGAAAGGAAUCAAGAGGAAGGAGAGGAUGGAGAUAUAGAAGAUGAAAAUCAGCCAGAGUAACAAGGCUCCAGGAAAGCCACAUGGCUAUGUGCAUCCCUUAGAGAAACAAAUUGGAAAAAGGUGGGAAUGUGAAAUGGCGAAGGCACUUUGGAAGACAGUUUGGCAUAGUUUCUUAAAAAUCUAAGCCUAUUCUUACCAUAUGAUCCAGUAAUCACACUCCUUGGUAUUUACCCAAAGGAGUUGAAAAUUAUUUCUACACAAUAACAUGAACAUGGAUGUUUAAGCAGCUUUACUUGUAAUUGCUGAAACUUAGAAGCAACCAAGAUGCUCCUCAGUAUGUGAAUAAACAAACUGUGGUACACUGAGACAAUGAAAUAUUAUUUAGCACUAAAACAAAAUGAGGCAUCAAGCCAUGAAAGACAUGGAGGAACCUUAACUGCAUCUCACUAAGUGAAGAGAAACAAUCAGAAACAGCUACAUACUGUGUGAUUCCAAGUAUAAGACAUCUGAAAAGGGUAAAACUAUGUAGACAGUAAAAAGAUAAGUGGUUGUCAAGGGUUGGGGGGAGUGGAAGAGGGAGGGAUGAAUAGGCAGAGUGCAGAGGAUUUUUAGGGCAGUGAAAAUACUCCGUAUAGUACUAUAAUAAUGGUAGAUACUUGCCAUUACACAUUUGUCCAAAUUCAUAGAAUGUACAAUACCGAGAGUGAACCUUAAUGUAAAUUAUAAACUUUGGGUGAUUAAGAUGUGUCAAUAUAGAUUGAUCAGUUAUAUCAAAUGUACCACUCUAGUAGGAAAUAUUGAUGGCUAGGGAAGCUAUGCAUGUAUAAAGACAGGGGUAUAUGGGAAAUCUCUGUAUCUUGAUCAAAAUUUUCUUGUAAACCUAAAACUGCUCUAAAAAGUAAAACUUUUUUUUUUUAAAGAAAAUUACACAGCUAUCUGUUUUGGAAAAUAAAUUUUGGAAAAAUGUAUAAAAGCAGUAAAUAGAUAAAAGACAACUUUAAUAAAGAGCAUAAAAACAUA
ensembl:lncRNA novel transcript